rnacentral:rRNA from 1 species
CCUACGGGAGGCAGCAGUGGGGAAUAUUGGACAAUGGGCGAAAGCCUGAUCCAGCAAUGCCGCGUGAGUGAUGAAGGCCUUAGGGUUGUAAAGCUCUUUUACCCGGGAUGAUAAUGACAGUACCGGGAGAAUAAGCUCCGGCUAACUCCGUGCCAGCAGCCGCGGUAAUACGGAGGGAGCUAGCGUUGUUCGGAAUUACUGGGCGUAAAGCGCACGUAGGCGGCUUUGUAAGUUAGAGGUGAAAGCCUGGAGCUCAACUCCAGAAUUGCCUUUAAGACUGCAUCGCUUGAAUCCAGGAGAGGUGAGUGGAAUUCCGAGUGUAGAGGUGAAAUUCGUAGAUAUUCGGAAGAACACCAGUGGCGAAGGCGGCUCACUGGACUGGUAUUGACGCUGAGGUGCGAAAGUCGUGGGGAGCAAACAGGAUUAGAUACCCUGGUAGUCCACGCCGUAAACGAUGAUAACUAGCUGUCAGGGUUCUUAGAACUUUGGUGGCGCAGCUAACGCAUUAAGUUAUCCGCCUGGGGAGUACGGUCGCAAGAUUAAAACUCAAAAGGAAUUAGACGG